GAUGAACGCUGGCGGCGUGCCUAAUACAUGCAAGUCGAGCGAACGGACGAGAAGCUUGCUUUUCUGAUGUUAGCGGCGGACGGGUGAGUAACACGUGGAUAACCUACCUAUAAGACUGGGAUAACUUCGGGAAACCGGAGCUAAUACCGGAUAAUAUUUUGAACCGCAUGGUUCAAAAGUGAAAGACGGUCUUGCUGUCACUUAUAGAUGGAUCCGCGCUGCAUUAGCUAGUUGGUAAGGUAACGGCUUACCAAGGCAACGAUGCAUAGCCGACCUGAGAGGGUGAUCGGCCACACUGGAACUGAGACACGGUCCAGACUACUACGGGAGGCAGCAGUAGGGAAUCUUCCGCAAUGGGCGAAAGCCUGACGGAGCAACGCCGCGUGAGUGAUGAAGGUCUUCGGAUCGUAAAACUCUGUUAUUAGGGAAGAACAUAUGUGUAAGUAACUGUGCACAUCUUGACGGUACCUAAUAAGAAAGCCACGGCUAACUACGUG
rnacentral:rRNA from 1 species